AACGCUAGCUACAGGCUUAACACAUGCAAGUCGAGGGGCAGCAUUUUAGUUUGCUUGCAAACUAAAGAUGGCGACCGGCGCACGGGUGAGUAACACGUAUCCAACCUGCCGAUAACUCGGGGAUAGCCUUUCGAAAGAAAGAUUAAUAUCCGAUAGUAUAUUAAAACCGCAUGGUUUUACUAUUAAAGAAUUUCGGUUAUCGAUGGGGAUGCGUUCCAUUAGUUUGUUGGCGGGGUAACGGCCCACCAAGACUACGAUGGAUAGGGGUUCUGAGAGGAAGGUCCCCCACAUUGGAACUGAGACACGGUCCAAACUCCUACGGGAGGCAGCAGUGAGGAAUAUUGGUCAAUGGACGAGAGUCUGAACCAGCCAAGUAGCGUGAAGGAUGACUGCCCUAUGGGUCGUAAACUUCUUUUAUAUGGGAAUAAAGUAUUCCACGUGUGGAAUUUUGUAUGUACCAUAUGAAUAAGGAUCGGCUAACUCCGUGCCAGCAGCCGCGGUAAUACGGAGGAUCCGAGCGUUAUCCGGAUUUAUUGGGUUUAAAGGGAGCGUAGGUGGAUUGUUAAGUCAGUUGUGAAAGUUUGCGGCUCAACCGUAAAAUUGCAGUUGAAACUGGCAGUCUUGAGUACAGUAGAGGUGGGCGGAAUUCGUGGUGUAGCGGUGAAAUGCUUAGAUAUCACGAAGAACUCCGAUUG
rnacentral:rRNA from 1 species